rnacentral:tRNA from 1 species
CGGCUCGUAGCUCAGUUGGUAGAGCAGCUGACUCUUAAUCAGCGGGCCCAGGGUUCGAAUCCCUGCGAGCCGA